UUUUUGUAAUAAUUUAAAGUCUAAUCUGCCCACUGAUAUUAUUAAAGGGCUGCAGUAUUUUGACUGUACAAAGGUAGCAUAAUCAUUUGUCUCUUAAUUGGUGACUUGUAUGAAAGAUUGAAUGAAAUAUGAACUGUCUCAAUUUAAUUUAUAAAAUUUAAUUUUUUAGUUAAAAAGCUAAAAUAAGUUUAAAAGACGAGAAGACCCUAUAGAGUUUUAUAAUUAUAUUAAUUAUAAUAAAAUAUAAAUUUUUUAAUUAAAAUUAAUAUAAUUAUUUUGUUGGGGUGACAAAAAAAUUAAAUUAACUUUUUUUAAAAAAUUUACAUUAAUUUAUGAUUUUAUGAUCCAUUUUUAGUGAUUAAAAGAAAAAAUUACCUUAGGGAUAACAGCGUAAUUUUUUUUUUUAGAUCAAAUAAAAAAAAAAGUUUGCGACCUCGAUGUUGGAUUAAGAUAAAAUUUAAAUGCAAAAGUUUAAAAUUUUUGAUCUGUUCGAUCAUUAAAAUCUUACAUGAUCU
rnacentral:rRNA from 1 species